AUGUCUGUGGUUUGCAUUCGAGACAGACAGAACACAAGGGAUAACAUGCUACGAAAACAUUGGGUAAAAGUUGUAACGCACAAUGGCUGUGACCUAUGCCCAACUGUAGAAACCAUGAACCAUGCUCUACUCCGACGCAAGCUGGCAGAAACGGUGUGGACCAAGGUUGGGCUGAAGGAGCUGGCUAUCUCCUCGACAGCAGUACAGGAUUUCUUCAGCUUAGAGCAGCCGAGAGCUAUGUGGAAAGUUCUGGCCUCUUCUCUUUGCGGCAUGUGUCGUCAUUCUCUGGAACGCUCAGAACACGCAAGUUUUCAAGGGAUAAUCCUGGCGGCAUGGACGUGUCUUCGGUGA
rnacentral:rRNA from 1 species